rnacentral:rRNA from 1 species
AUACGGAGGGUGCAAGCGUUACUCGGAAUCACUGGGCGUAAAGCGCGCGCAGGCGGCUAUUUAAGUUGGAUGUGAAAGCCUAUGGCGCAACCAUAGAACUGCAUCCAAAACUAUUUAGCUAGAGUGUGGGAGAGGAAGAUGGAAUUAGUUGUGUAGGGGUAAAAUCCGUAGAGAUAACUAGGAAUACCAAAAGCGAAGGCAAUCUUCUGGAACACUACUGACGCUGAGGUGCGAAAGCGUGGGGAGCAAACAGGAUUAGAAACCCUAGUAGUCC